UCAGACGAUGCGUCAUGCAUAUCAAUAAGCGGAGGAAAAGAAACUAACAAGGAUUCCCUCAGUAACGGCGAGUGAAGCGGGAAGAGCUCAAAUUUGAAAUCUUGAAAGGUCACCUUUCACGAAUUGUAGUUUAAAGGAGUGUUUUCUGUUACGAUCGUAAUAUAAGUUCUUUGGAAUAGGACAUCACAGAGGGUGAGAAUCCCGUCUAUGAUUGCGAUUUGUAGCUUUGUGAUACACUUUCAAAGAGUCGGGUUGUUUGGGAAUGCAGCCCAAAACGGGAGGUAAAUUUCUUCUAAGGCUAAAUAUUGGCGAGAGACCGAUAGCGAACAAGUACCGUGAGGGAAAGAUGAAAAGAACUUUGAAAAGAGAGUUAAAUAGUACGUGAAAUUGUCAAAAGGGAAGCGUUUAACACCAGUGUUGUUUUCUGAAAAUCAACCUCUGUUAGCUUUAUGCAUGUUUGUUUAGACCUAAUCAGCUAUCUUGCAUGUUCUAUUGUUUACAGUGGUGCACAUUUCAGUUUACAGGUCAACAUCAGUUUUUUUUACCGUAAAAAAGUUAAAGAAAGGUAGCUCAUGGCUCCGGUCGUGAGUGUUAUAGUCUUUUUCCUAUGCGGUAGGAGAGACUGAGGUCUGCAGUGUAGGCUAUUUGGCUAGAUACUCAGGUGCUAUGUGAUACCAUUUCAUAAACAACUUGUUGAUUAUGUUUUGUCUAUUGCAUACUCGCUUGUACUAUCAUACCUACGCUUAGGAUGUUGAAGACUCUACAGAGAUA
rnacentral:rRNA from 1 species